UGGUUGAAAGCCAACUCUGGGCUCGCAUCAGAAGGCAGGAGAUGAAUGCUAUGACCAAAGACUGAAGUUCUCUGUAGAGUCCGCAGCACUCAAUAGUGCUCUAUUUUCCUGAGGAGAUAUAAGA
ensembl:snoRNA